rnacentral:rRNA from 1 species
GACGAACGCUGGCGGCGUGCUUAACACAUGCAAGUCGAACGGAAAGGCCCUGCUUGCAGGGUACUCGAGUGGCGAACGGGUGAGUAACACGUGGGUGAUCUGCCCUGCACUUCGGGAUAAGCUUGGGAAACUGGGUCUAAUACCGGAUAGGAACCAUCUUUAGUGUGGUGGUUGGAAAGUUUUUUCGGUGUAGGAUGAGCUCGAGGCCUAUCAGCUUGUUGGUGGGGUAAUGGCCUACCAAGGCGGCGACGGGUAGCCGGCCUGAGAGGGUGUACGGCCACAUUGGGACUGAGAUACGGCCCAGACUCCUACGGGAGGCAGCAGUGGGGAAUAUUGCACAAUGGGCGCAAGCCUGAUGCAGCGACGCCGCGUGGGGGAUGAAGGCCUUCGGGUUGUAAACUCCUUUCGCUAGGGACGAAGCUUUGUUGUGACGGUACCUAGAUAAGAAGCACCGGCUAACUACGUG